GAUGAACGCUGGCGGCGUGCCUAAUACAUGCAAGUCGAGCGAACAGACGAGGAGCUUGCUCCUCUGACGUUAGCGGCGGACGGGUGAGUAACACGUGGAUAACCUACCUAUAAGACUGGGAUAACUUCGGGAAACCGGAGCUAAUACCGGAUAACAUGUUGAACCGCAUGGUUCAACAGUGAAAGACGGUCUUGCUGUCACUUAUAGAUGGAUCCGCGCCGCAUUAGCUAGUUGGUAAGGUAACGGCUUACCAAGGCAACGAUGCGUAGCCGACCUGAGAGGGUGAUCGGCCACACUGGAACUGAGACACGGUCCAGACUCCUACGGGAGGCAGCAGUAGGGAAUCUUCCGCAAUGGGCGAAAGCCUGACGGAGCAACGCCGCGUGAGUGAUGAAGGUCUUCGGAUCGUAAAACUCUGUUAUUAGGGAAGAACGAAUGUGUAAGUAACUAUGCACGUCUUGACGGUACCUAAUCAGAAAGCCACGGCUAACUACGUG
rnacentral:rRNA from 1 species